rnacentral:rRNA from 1 species
UACGAAGGGUGCAAGCGUUAAUCGGAAUUACUGGGCGUAAAGCGCGCGUAGGUGGUUUGUUAAGUUGAAUGUGAAGCCCCGGGCUCAACUGGGAACUGCAUCCAAACUAGGCGAAGCUAGAGGUAUGGCAGAGGGUGGUGGAAUUUCCUGUGUAGCGGUGAAUGCGUAGAUAUAGGAAGGAACACCAGUGGCGAAGGCGACCACCUGGGCUAAUACUGGACACUGAGGUGCGAAAGCGUGGGGAGCAAACAGGAUUAGAUACCCCCGUAGU